UGCGCAGUAAAGUUAACCUAACAAUGCUUAUAUAUUAUUUUUGUUGGUGUUAUGAUUGUCGUUUUGACAAGUUAUUAAUUACAAUAAAAAAUGUCAAUGGAAAACAAAAUAUACAAAAAGAGUUAUAGAUGAAAUUAAAAACCUUAACAUUGGAGUUUUAUAAUGGAGACAGAUUAACAACGAUUUCUUAGUGCUGAUAUUUUCCACAGAUUUAUAAAUGAAAUAUAAAACUUCAACAUUGAAGUUUGAUAAUGGAGACAGAAUAACAACGAUUUCUUCGUGGUGAUAUUUUUCACAGAUUUAUAAAUGAAAUAUAAAACUUCAACAUUGGAGUUUGAUAAUGGAGACAGAGUAACAACGAUUUCUUCUUGGUGAUAUUUUUCACAGCUUUAUAAAUAAAAGAUAAUAUCUGAACAUUAAAGUUUUAAAAUGGAGACAAAAUUACAAUAAUUUCUUUGUGGUGAUAUUCCUAACAGAUCUGGAUGAAUGAAUCGAAAAUAACAUAACUAUUAUUAUAAUGUAAAUAAAAAAAUUAACAACGAUAAUUUUCAAAAUUAAACAAAUCAAUGAGAAUUUUAUAUAUAUAUAAAAUUGACUUCUAAGAAUUAAAUAAAAUAAUUAAUUUUUUGGACUAUCAGUGAUUGACCGCCACCAUCACCAUCAUAUCGAUACAUUUAGAGCUUACAAUUUCAAUAAAUGAAAAAUUUUUAUAUAAAUUAUAAUUUACUCUUUUCUUAAAUAUAAUUACCACAAAUAAAUAAUUAA